rnacentral:rRNA from 1 species
AACGAACGCUGGCGGCAGGCCUAACACAUGCAAGUCGAGCGGACCUUUCGGGGUCAGCGGCGGACGGGUGAGUAACGCGUGGGAAUAUGCCCUUCUCUACGGAAUAGUCCUGGGAAACUGGGGGUAAUACCGUAUACGCCCUUUGGGGGAAAGAUUUAUCGGGGAAGGAUUAGCCCGCGUUGGAUUAGGUAGUUGGUGGGGUAAUGGCCUACCAAGCCGACGAUCCAUAGCUGGUUUGAGAGGAUGAUCAGCCACACUGGGACUGAGACACGGCCCAGACUCCUACGGGAGGCAGCAGUGGGUAAUCUUAGACAAUGGGGGCAACCCUGAUCUAGCCAUGCCGCGUGAGUGAUGAAGGCCUUAGGGUUGUAAAGCUCUUUCAGCUGGGAAGAUAAUGACGGUACCAGCAGAAGAAGCCCCGGCUAACUCCGUG